rfam:Triticum aestivum genome assembly, contig: Triticum_aestivum_CS42_TGACv1_scaffold_049647_1BS
GAUGUACUCCUCCGUCUGAAAAUACUUGUCAUCAAAAUAAAUGUAUCUAUAACUAAUAUACAUCUAGAUACAUUUCCUUCUAUUCAUUUUAAUAACAAGUAUUUCCAAACGGAGGGAGUACUUC